CCCAGGACUCUGCCGUGACGGGGUGCAGAGGAGCCAAAGGGUUAAACCUGGACUUGCCCAGAACGAUAAAGCCCCUUCGAGCCCAGCCUGCAGCAACCCUGCCAGGAUGGGAUGAGCCCCAGGGGCAGCGGGGGGACCCACUGCGCCCCCGGGGAGCCCCCACAGCAUCACCCACCUCCAUGGGGCUGGCCAGGGGCUUUGCAAAAGGCUCCGUCCCGGGGGGACGGGCACCCUGGCAGGGGCAGAGCCCAGGCAGGCUGCAGGCAGCCGGUCCUGCGCCUCCCAUCCCCCUGUGUGCCUGGGGAGGAAACGGGAGUUAUUGCUCUUGGAGACAGCAGUGGCUAUUUUUUUUUUUUUCUAAUUUCUUUUCUUUUUUUUUUUUUCUUUUUUUUUUUUUCCCCUCUCUUCUUUUUUAUUUCCCUUCAUUUUAUAAAAAGCACCUGACCGCAGGAGGCAGCUGGCUGCAGCCCACGCGCCCACCAAGCGCCCAGCCGGACACUGGCCCCCUGCAGCACCCAGGGCAAGCCAGGACCCCCAGGGACCCCCAGCACCCCACUGUCUCCUGGCUGGGAAUUGGGUGGGCUCAGCCGGGAGGGGCCAUGUCCUCGCCUCACCCCACAUCAGCUCCCCCAAUUUGGGGGACACCACAGCCCCAGGGAGGGGGGCUGCUGCUCCCCCGCCCCCCCCCCAUCUCAUCUGCCCAAGUACCACGGAGCUGGCAGAGCGAGGAGCAUCACCCAGCCUGGGGGUCCCGGUGCAGAGCCCAUCCCUCAGGUGGGCUGUGCCCCCCACCAGCUCCCGUGACCCCCAGCAUCCCCGCCAGGCAGGAUAGAGCCGAGGCAUCUCCCUGCACCUGGGGGAAGGGGGCUGGGGGGGGGAUACAGCCCAUGGCAGGCCGGGAGCUGCACCCUGGGGGUCUGUGCUUGUGCCAGCCUGUGGGAAACGGGGGGCUGCCCCGAGCCCUGCCGUGGGGGCCAGCUCCUGAGCCUCCACCCACCCCGAACUGGCCGGGAGCCACAAGCAAACAUCCUCCGGACGUUUGGGAAGAGCCUAAUUGCUGGGGAAAGGAAGGGCCACAGGCGGGUCAUACUCGGGGGCUCUUCCUCCCCCCACCCCCCACCCCUCCAACCCCCAGGUGCAGCAGGACAAGCCACAUCCCCUUGUGCCUCAGUUUCCCCCUUCGGUGCAAAUGCGAGGCCCCAGCACCCCCCCCCCCCGACCCAGACCCAGCUGAGUCACCCACAUGGUUAUUUCGACAAGCGGCUGGAGCAGGAGGGAGCGCUCUCCCAGGACAGCCCCCACCCAAGCGGGGCCCCAAAUCUAAACAACCCACCUACGACCUCACCGAGAGGGGGGCGGGGGGGGAGGGGGAAGCCAACACCACCAGCACCACCAGCCAUGGGAGACGGCAGGUCACCGGCACAACACCCCAUGGCAGAGCGGGCAAGCAAGCCGGGCACAAUUUGGGGCCAAAUCAUC
rnacentral:lncRNA from 1 species